GCUCCAAUAGCGUAUACUAAAGUUGUUGCAGUUAAAAAGCUCGUAGUUGGAUUUCUGGUCGUGAACCAGGUCCGGACCUCACGGUUUGUGUACCGGGUGUUUGCGUCCAUCUUCCGGGAAAACACUCCUGUUCUUCAUUGAAUGGUUGUGCGAUCUCGGUCAGUUACUGUGAGCAAAGUAGAGUGUUCAAAGCAGGCUUA
rnacentral:rRNA from 1 species